CCGGGGGCUGGGCAGGCGGCCUGGCCACAUGGGGAGGGAAAUCCUUGUAUCCGGGGGUCCAUGGCCAGGUAGGGAGGAAGCAGGGAGUCACAUAGAGGGGUGGAAGUGAGUGUAGGGGGAAGGGGCCCUGGCCACGCAGGAAAGGAGGAGAGGGUCCUUGACAGCAGGGAGUCCUGGCACCUCCAGAGGUGACUGGCAACUGGCAUGCCAGAUUUGAAGUUGGAAAACUGUUAGAUGGCUCAAAAAGUGACUCUCCCGAAGAUGAAGACACGUGUCAAAAUAGAAGGAGCAUUUCACCAUGAUGUGUCAGGAUUCCCCACAGCUCCCUGGUGAGCUCUGCAAACACUGAAAUGGAAAAGCUGGCUCCUGGGACUGUCUGUUCCUAGCUUCUCUUUAGCCCAAUAUGAAUGAGUUGGUGGUUCCCCAAAAACCUACCUUCCACAAUGGAGAUAAAGGACCAAGAACACUCAUCUGAGAAAUCCUUUGUCUUCUCUGCUGGAAGCACCCCUAGACACAGCCCGAUGGGAAAAUGCUGACCAAGAAGACCACAGCCCCCCUCCCCUACCUAAAACCCCAAAUAAAAACCUCUACCCAUUUCUUAACGGGGCACAAGCAACUUUUGGGGCACUGGCCCUCUGCUUUGCUCCCUCUGCCUGGCAAAGUAAAG
rnacentral:lncRNA from 1 species